CCGGCUGCUUUUCUAGAGAAUCUGGGUUCAAUUCCCGGCACCCACAUGGCAGCUAACAGCUGUUUGUAACUCCAGGAUCUGAACCCCUCACACAGAUAGAUAUACAUGAGGGCAAAACACCAAUGCACAUACGUAACCAUAAAAAAAGAAACAAAGUGGUUAUUUUGGCUCAAGUUGGAGGGGAUGUGCUACACUGUGGCAGGGAAGGCAGGGGGAAGGAGCAUGAGGCAGCUGAUCAGGUUGCAUCUAUGAUGGAGAAGGAGAGAAAGAUGAAGGGUGGUGUUCAGUUUGCUUUCUCAUUUUAUUCAGUCCAAGACCCUGUGUUGUGGUGUGUGGUAAG
rnacentral:lncRNA from 1 species